GAUGAACGCUGGCGGCGUGCCUAAUACAUGCAAGUCGAGCGAACAGAUGAGGAGCUUGCUCCUCUGACGUUAGCGGCGGACGGGUGAGUAACACGUGGAUAACCUACCUAUAAGACUGGGAUAACUUCGGGAAACCGGAGCUAAUACCGGAUAAUAUAUUGAACCGCAUGGUUCAAUAGUGAAAGACGGUUUUGCUGUCACUUAUAGAUGGAUCCGCGCCGCAUUAGCUAGUUGGUAAAGUAACGGCUUACCAAGGCAACGAUGCGUAGCCGACCUGAGAGGGUGAUCGGCCACACUGGAACUGAGACACGGUCCAGACUCCUACGGGAGGCAGAGUAGGGAAUCUUCCGCAAUGGGCGAAAGCCUGACGGAGCAACGCCGCGUGAGUGAUGAAGGUCUUCGGAUCGUAAAACUCUGUUAUUAGGGAAGAACAAAUGUGUAAGUAACUAUGCACGUCUUGACGGUACCUAAUCAGAAAGCCACGGCUAACUACGUG
rnacentral:rRNA from 1 species